GCUGGGCGCAGUGGUGCAUGCCUGUAAUCCCAGUGGCUUGGGAGGUUGAGGCAGGAGGAUUAUGAGUUGAAAGCCAGCCUCAGGAAUGACAAGGCACUAAGUAACUCAGUGAAACCCUGUCUCUA
rnacentral:sRNA from 1 species